rnacentral:rRNA from 1 species
GGGGAAUAUUGGGCAAUGGGGGAAACCCUGACCCAGCAACGCCGCGUGAGGGAAGAAGGCUUUCGGGUCGUAAACCUCUGUCCCAUGGGAAGAGCAGAAGACGGUACCAUGGGAGGAAGCCCCGGCUAACUACGUGCCAGCAGCCGCGGUAAUACGUAGGGGGCGAGCGUUGUCCGGAAUGACUGGGCGUAAAGGGCGCGUAGGCGGCUUGACAAGUCCGGAGUGAAAGUCCCGCUUUCAAGGUGGGAAUGGCUUUGGAAACUGUGAGGCUUGAGUGUGGGAGAGGAUAGCGGAAUUCCCGGUGUAGCGGUGAAAUGCGUAGAGAUCGGGAGGAACACCAGUGGCGAAGGCGGCUAUCUGGACCAAGACUGACGCUGAGGCGCGAAAGCGUGGGUAGCAAAC